rnacentral:piRNA from 1 species
AAGCUAGCAGCCUCUGGAUCGAUUACA